rnacentral:rRNA from 1 species
GACGAACGCUGGCGGCGUGCUUAACACAUGCAAGUCGAACGGAGUGGCGAACGGGCGAGUAACACGUGGGUGACCUGCCCUGCACUUCGGGAUAAGCCUGGGUAACUGGGUCUAAUACCGGAUAGUGUGGGAUGGGCGCGGGGCCUAUCGGCUUGUUGGUGGGGUAAUGGCCUACCACGGCGGCGACGGGUAGCCGGCCUGGGAGGGCGGACGGCGACAAGAGGCCUGCGACAGGGCCCAGACGCCUACGGGGGGCAGCGGUGGCGAAUAUUGUGCAAUGGGCGGGCGCCUGAUGCAGCGGCGCCACGGGGGGGAUGACGGCCUUCGGGUUGUAAACGCGUUUCGGCUAAGACCCGGUAGAUGGAGAAGAAGCACCGGCUAACUACGUGCCAGCAGCCGCGGUAAUUC